AUUCAUUUCAAAAUUUUUAAAUCAUGGCGUAUACGAAAAAAUAUAUAUUUAUAUUAUAUAGAUGAUGUGAUGAAUUUAUAUGUUUUACGAGGCAAACGCCUUAUGCGCAAGGCGAAUUCAGAGACCAUUUGCGUCUAAUAUCGCCUCUUGCUAUAUCAAAGACAAUUCAGAGACCAUUCAGAGAUCCAUUGCGCUUGUCUACUAUAUCAAAUCAUUGUAUAGUGACUUCUUGUCACUGUUUCUAUGCAUAACAUUCAUUACUUUGAGUGAAUAUUAAAUGGUGAUAAUGACGAGCUCCAUGUGAAUCCCGACAUGGUUGGAACAAAAGAUGGUGGAUGAGAAGAGAGAUUGACUUAAGGAAGAGUUGCAUGAUGUCCACGUCAACAUCGAGCCUAUAAAGAGGAUAAAGAACACAACCACAAUAAUACUACAAAAUGUGAGUCUUUUUUUUCAGAAACUGUAGGACAAUGCUACUUAGGACAAUCUAUUAUGCAUAUGAAAGCUGGAACAUUUUCAAGACUGUCAUAUUUUCUACCGUGAGUGGAGCAGUUGGCAUGAUAAUGUCAAUUCCACCAGUUAUCUACAAAUUCUUACAUAAGCUGGAGCGGUACAUGAGGAAAAAUAUAAGAGGAAAAGGAUGCCCCGACGAGCGGAUUCCACGAGUGUAUGUUGAGUUAUCAACAGUGGCAGAUGCACAAUAUUGGCAAGGGAGAGGGUGAGAUGACCCCCAUAAAUCUUUGAAUUU
rnacentral:sRNA from 1 species